rnacentral:rRNA from 1 species
GAUGAACGCUGGCGGCGUGCCUAAUACAUGCAAGUCGAGCGAACAGACGAGGAGCUUGCUCCUCUGACGUUAGCGGCGGACGGGUGAGUAACACGUGGAUAACCUACCUAUAAGACUGGGAUAACUUCGGGAAACCGGAGCUAAUACCGGAUAACAUGUUGAACCGCAUGGUUCAACAGUGAAAGACGGUCUUGCUGUCACUUAUAGAUGGUUCCGCGCCGCAUUAGCUAGUUGGUAAGGUAACGGCUUACCAAGGCAACGAUGCGUAGCCGACCUGAGAGGGGGAUCGGCCACACUGGAACUGAGACGCGGUCCAGACUCCUAAGGGAGGCAGCAGUAGGGAAUCUUCCGCAAUGGGCGAAAGCCUGACGGAGCAACGCCGCGUGAGUGAAGAAGGUCUUCGGAUCGUAAAACUCUGUUAUUAGGGAAGAACAAAUGUGUAAGUAACUAUGCACGUCUUGACGGUACCUAAUCAGAAAGCCACGGCUAACUACGUG